rnacentral:rRNA from 1 species
CCUACGGGAGGCAGCAGUGGGGGAUAUUGCACAAUGGGGGGAACCCUGAUGCAGCGACGCCGCGUGGGUGAAGAAGCGCCUCGGCGCGUAAAGCCCUGUCAGCAGGGAAGAAAAUGACGGUACCUGAAGAAGAAGCCCCGGCUAACUACGUGCCAGCAGCCGCGGGAAGACGUAGGGGGCAAGCGUUAGCCGGAUUUACUGGGGGAAAAGGGGGCGCAGACGGGGAUGCAAGCCAGGAGUGAAAGCCCGGGGCCCAACCCCGGGACUGCUCUUGGAACUGCGUGGCUGGAGUGCAGGAGGGGCAGGCGGAAUUCCUGGUGUAGCGGUGAAAUGCGUCGAUAUCAGGAGGAACACCGGUGGCGAAGGCGGCCUGCUGGACUGCAACUGACGUUGAGGCCCGAAAGCGUGGGGAGCAAACAGGAUUAGAUACCCUUGUAGUC